UAACAGAAAAGACUUGCCCUCCCAGGAACCCAUCUAUGGAUUCUUUGGUGUCUUCACAGCCCGACAGAUCUUCAGGUGGACUAACUUCUUGACUUAAUGAGAGGGAAAUAAUUUUGGGGGGGGACUCUCUCUGGUCGCCAACAACCCAGGUGGAGAUGUCUGAGGAAAAUCUAGGGGAAGAGUCCGGGAGCUCUCCUGUCUCUCCUGUGGACAGCCUGAGCAACAGCGAGGGGGAGCUGGACAGACAGCCGAAGAGAUGUGGGAGGAAGAGGAGACCGAGCAGGAAAAAUGGGGAGGACUCAGAUAGCCCGACCCCUGGGAAAAGAGGGAAGAAGUCCAGCAGCAGCAGCCCCCAGUCUUUCGAGGAGCUCCAGUCGCAGCGGGUCAUGGCCAACGUCCGGGAGCGACAGAGGACCCAAUCUCUCAACGAGGCGUUCGCAGCUCUGCGGAAAAUUAUCCCCACUUUACCAUCGGACAAACUCAGCAAAAUACAGACCCUAAAACUUGCAGCCAGAUACAUCGACUUCCUCUGCCAGGUCCUGCAGAGCGACGAGCUGGACUCCAAGAUGUCAAGCUGUAGUUAUGUGGCUCACGAGAGGCUGAGCUACGCCUUCUCUGUAUGGAGGAUGGAGGGCGCUUGGUCCAUGUCAACAUCUCAUUAACAUCCGGAGAAAUUAUGCCCAAAAUGGUACGCUUGGUUUUUCAACUAAACUGCAUGAUCCAAGCUUGAAAUAGGUGACUGCUGAAUAUACUUAUCACAUUCUGAAGGGACAAUCUGGAGUCCAAUGCUGGAUACAUGGGAUCAUUUACACCAAAAACGACUGAAACUCUGCAAGGGGGGGUCCGUUAGGCCCGUCAGCCGUUAGCUCCAAACUCCACAAGAGUUUUCAUGUUGUUGACGACGAAUGUUGAAAACAUCUUUUAUACAUCUUUUUCUACUUUUGUUUAAUGCAUGCUUUUGGACUGUUUUCUGCGGAAGUCCAAGUGCAUCAUUGAAGUCUCAGUUUUCUGUGUGAGACUGUGUAGCUCACAUUAUAGGCUGACUUCGUGGAUCUAACCUGUGCAAAAAAGGAAAAAAGUGUUUUCAGAAUGCAUUUAUUUAUUUAUUACUGAAACGUGUUACACUGAGGAAUAGAUCCUGUGUGUCAAAUAAAAAUAAAAAAAAUCCUAUUUUUUAUUAUCAUUUCUUUUGUAAAUGUUUGUAUAUUUUUUGCAUUAAAGAAAAAGACGAAAGG